CCGGUUGAUCCUGCCAGAGGUUACUGCUAUCGGGGUCCGACUAAGCCAUGCGAGUUGAGAGGGGUAAGCCCUCGGCAUACUGCUCAGUAACACGCGGAUAACCUGCCCUUGGGUCCGGGAUAACCCCGAGAAACUGGGACUAAUACCGGAUAGAUCAGAGAAACUGGAAUGUUCUCUGGUCCAAAACUCCGGUGCCCAAGGAUGGGUCUGCGGCCUAUCAGGUAGUAGUGGGUGUAACGUACCUACUAGCCAGCGACGGGUAAGGGUUGUGAGAGCAAGAUCCCUGAGAUGGAUUCUGAGACAUGAAUCCAGGCCCUACGGGGUGCAGCAGGCGCGAAAACUUUACACUGCGGGAAACCGCGAUAAGGGGACCUCGAGUGCCAGGUUACAAAUCUGGCUGUCGUGAUGCCUAAAAAGCAUUGCAUAGCAAGGGCCGGGCAAGACCGGUGCCAGCCGCCGCGGUAACACCGGCGGCUCGAGUGGUAACCGUUAUUAUUGGGUCUAAAGGGUCUGUAGCCGGCCGGAUAAGUCUCUUGGGAAAUCUGGCAGCUUAACUGUCAGGCUUUCAGGAGAUACUGUCUGGCUCGAGGCCGGGAGAGGUGAGAGGUACUUCAGGGGUAGGGGUGAAACCUUGUAAUCCUUGAAGGACCACCAGUGGCGAAGGCGUCUCACCAGAACGGACCUGACGGCAAGGGACGAAAGCUAGGGGCACGAACCGGAUUAGAUACCCGGGUAGUCCUAGCCGUAAACGAUACUCGCUAGGUGUCGGCCACGGUGCGACCGUUGUCGGUGCCGUAGGGAAGCCGUGAAGCGAGCCACCUGGGAAGUACGGCCGCAAGGCUGAAACUUAAAGGAAUUGGCGGGGGAGCACCACAACGGGUGGAGCUUGCGGUUUAAUUGGAUUCAACGCCGG
rnacentral:rRNA from 1 species